AGCGAACGCUGGCGGCAGGCUUAACACAUGCAAGUCGAGCGGGCAUCCUUGUGGUGUCAGCGGCAGACGGGUGAGUAACGCGUGGGAACGUGCCCUUCGGUUCGGAAUAACUCAGGGAAACUUGAGCUAAUACCGGAUACGUGCGAGAGCAGAAAGGUUUAUCUGCCGAAGGAUCGGCCCGCGUCUGAUUAGCUAGGUGGUGAGGUUAUGGCUCACCAAGGCGACGAUCAGUAGCUGGUCUGAGAGGAUGAUCAGCCACACUGGGACUGAGACACGGCCCAGACUCCUACGGGAGGCAGCAGUGGGGAAUAUUGGACAGUGGGCGCGACCCUGAUCCAGCCAUGCCGCGUGAGUGAUGACGGCCUUAGGGUUGUAAAGCUCUUUUCUUCGGGACGAUAAUGACGGUACCGGAGGAAUAAGCCCCGGCUAACUUCGUG
rnacentral:rRNA from 1 species